AACGCGAAGAACCUUACCUGGGCUCGAAAUGUAGUGGACCGGGGUGGAAACAUCCCUUCCCGCAAGGGCUGCUAUAUAGGUGCUGCAUGGCUGUCGUCAGCUCGUGUCGUGAGAUGUUGGGUUAAGUCCCGCAACGAGCGCAACCCUUAUUGUCAGUUGCCAUCAUUAAGUUGGGCACUCUGGCGAAACCGCCUCGGAUAACGGGGAGGAAGGUGGGGAUGACGUCAAGUCCUCAUGGCCUUUAUGUCCAGGGCUACACACGUGCUACAAUGGUCGGUACAAACCGUCGCAAACCCGCGAGGGGGAGCUAAUCGGAAAAAGCCGGCCUCAGUUCGGAUUGGAGUCUGCAACUCGACUCCAUGAAGCUGGAAUCGCUAGUAAUCGCGGAUCAGAACGCCGCGGUGAAUACGUUCCCGGGCCUUGUA
rnacentral:rRNA from 1 species